rnacentral:rRNA from 1 species
GUGGGGAAUCUUAGACAAUGGGGGAAACCCUGAUCUAGCCAUGCCGCGUGAGCGAUGAAGGCCUUAGGGUUGUAAAGCUCUUUCAGCUGGGAAGAUAAUGACGGUACCAGCAGAAGAAGCCCCGGCUAACUCCGUGCCAGCAGCCGCGGUAAUACGGAGGGGGCUAGCGUUGUUCGGAAUUACUGGGCGUAAAGCGCGCGUAGGCGGACCAGAAAGUUGGAGGUGAAAUCCCAGGGCUCAACCUUGGAACUGCCUUCAAAACUCCUGGUCUGGAGUUCGAGAGAGGUGAGUGGAAUUCCGAGUGUAGAGGUGAAAUUCGUAGAUAUAGGAAGGAACACCAGUGGCGAAGGCGACUACCUGGACUGAUACUGACACUGAGGUGCGAAAGCGUGGGGAGCAAACAGGAUUAGAAACCCCAGUAGUCC